GACCACACGACUACUGCAAGUGC
rnacentral:siRNA from 1 species